AGGCCCAAAUAUUUUUCCUCAAAGCCAACAUUCUGGACUUCUAAGAUAGUGGCAACCGCGGCCGCAUUGUCAUCUCCACACCCAUUCCCAAGGAGCAGCGAGCACUUGAUUGGGCUGAGGAGUUGGCCUGUACCGAUUUCAUAAUCCGUCAGAAUAGAUUUGACCACAGUAGCUUGGCCUGUAUUUGCUUGAAAGAAAAGCAAGCUAUCAUCCGCGAAGAGCAGGUGAGAGAUGCCAGGUGCUCGCCUGCACAACUUCAGCUCCUCAAGAAGACCCAUCGUGACGUUUCUGUUAAUACAGGCUUCUUUUCUUUUCAUUUAGUCUUGUAAUAUGUUGAUAAAUAAGUACAGACACUUAAUAUAAACUUAGAUUUGGAGCCUCCUAAUUUUUGAGGGCCUGACUAGACCGGUCAGCUCCAUCCAUGUACUUCUUCCCAUUUAGUGUUUUUCUGUAGUUUAUUUUAAACAAUAAUCUGACAGUAUUGAAUCAUGAAAGAAAACAUAAUAGAUUGAUACAACCGAAACAAACACAAACAUCGAAGAUCCUCGAUUAAAUUAAAAGGUCCAUCACGAUACUUUGAAGCCAAUUUCUUUAGUUCCACCACCCGUGUCUUGACGUUCAUCCACGUGUUCGGUGAAUAUAUUGCAGAGUAUCAUACUUGCACGAGCUGAAAAAAGAAUAAAAACAUGAAAAAGACAAGCUUUGAGCAUGCGAGAACCAAAUUACUCCUCAGAUAUACUAAAAGCCUACACCAUGGUGAGGGCACCAAUCUUCUAAACAACAUCAUACCCAUUGACGCCACCGUCAAGAAACACAAACCUAACAGAAAAAACAAAACUAAAUGUCAGAUGUUGAUUUUUAAUUCCUCUUUAAACGUCAGACCGAUUAUUUGAACCGCAGGAGGAUUUUUCCAUGGUGCUCCGCAGCUUCUGUGAGUUCUGUCAAACGCGGUUUCGUUUGCAUUUGCGUGCAGUGUUCUAAGCCCAG
rnacentral:lncRNA from 1 species